GGAGGGGUGGCCGAGCGGCUGAAGGCAGCUGCCUGCUAAGCAGUUAUAGGGUAACACCUAUCCAGGGUUCGAAUCCCUGCCCCUCCG
rnacentral:tRNA from 1 species